CUAUGUGUACUCUUGCGCGCGCGUACACGAGUAAGUAAAAGAGCGGAAUGCACGCUGGCUAUUGGCAUCGUGCGUAUUGCGUAAACAGUGGGUCUUAAUAGACGCCUGUGCACGAGCAUCUUGCUAUGAUAAAACGGGCAUGCAUUCGCAUUGCGUCAUGUGAAAAGUAACAACUGCUGGACGGCCUUGGGUACAGCACAUUGUGAUAAUGCACUUAUUGAAAAUAAAGGAGUUAGAUAUACAAGCUUUGACAGUUGAAGAAUAUUUCUCCUGAAAGCUAACGAGGAAAUCGAGUGACAUAUGCGCCACUUUCCUGGUAAGAUAAAUAUGGAAGAAUGUUUAAUCUACGUGGCGUUAUUUUUACAGAUUGAAGUAUCCGCAGGCUUAUUGGAGUGCAGAGCACAUCGAUAAUAUCGACAAAAGUGUCAUGGAUACUAAUAACCUAACCUAGACAAACUUGUCUAGCUAUCUAACAUCGAAAAUCGAUCUCGUUGUAUCAGGUUAUAGAUACAAUUAUAUUUGACACCUAUUAUUUACUUAAAGGAGGCUAUGGAUUUGUAGGAAAGUACAAAGAUCUAUAGAAUGCGCCUAAUAAGCAACAACAUAUGAAAUAUCCAAAGAAUUGUGCUCGUUAUAAUUAGACUCUGGAUGUUUAUGCAAAGAAUGCAUAUAAUAUAAAGAAAUAUAUGAAAUAUUAAAAACAUAGCACUUGUUAUAAUAUUGAGCAUGUGAAACGAAUUUCUACAUAGGUUCCAUUUUCCUACUUGUGCUGAUAAAAAUAUAAAUUUGCACAAGCAUUCGCAGUCCAAUUAUAAACAUAUAUAGGAUCUUAGUCGCAUUCAUAACAAUAUGGGUUUGCGCAAACAUCCACGGUUUACUAAUCGUUAUUAUAAAAUAGGUUUAAUAAUCACGUAGAUAGUGCACCGUAUACAACGUUCGUUUAUUUGAAUUGUAAUCAUACAAGUGCAUAACAAAUAUAUUGUGCUACCAGGUUGAUCUUGUAGAAUGAAGUUGUAUCGGUGUUUCAACAUCGACUUAUGACUUCAUUGAUUCCUCCGAUACGUUCGACGGAACGUUAUGAACGACGAUCCCGAAGAAACGCUCGUGGGCCAACAAACAGCUCGACUACGUUAUUAUACUUAAUCGCGGUGUGCGCCCGAAGCGCGACGUUCUCGCGAUUGCUGGAAUGCCGUCCGAUCACUUGUACCGGGUCUAUCAAGGCCGUUGGGAAAUGAAAAUCGUUUCUUUCUGGUCGACUUAUGGAAUCCAAAACAUGUGGGACAUUAAGAAUUUACGUGGACAGGAGAAAAGGCAUCGAUGAGGGUGAUCCAUAAUUCAUGGGCAGAGAGAUUCUAUGACUUAAAAUAAGAGGAAAAUCAAGAAUAACACAAUUACGCUGGUUUUGUUUCUGAGAAAAUCGAUGACUUCAUUUGUACCAUGAAUACAAUACCUGAAGCAGAGUGACUAUCCUGUAUAUGGUUGAAAAAUAGUUGGGACAAUGGUGUGAAAAAUACCGUAAGUGGGAGGAACUAGGACAAAGGUACAGACUUUGAGUGAUUAAAUUUAUGGUUUUGAUAAUUCGUCGUAGUGAAUUACCGUUUAUAUAAAUAUAGAAAUGAAUGUCGCUGUUGAUGGCAUGCUGAUGAUAUCAUUGCAGAUUGUCUCAACAAGCUAGCAAUACUUUUUAGUACUUAUACUUUAUACUGUUUACAGUAUACUACUCCAACAAUACUCUUUGGUAUUUUUCUUAUUAAUACUUACUAUGAUUAUUUCCAUAUUUCCCAUUCCAUUUCAUUUCAGAGGAAGUUACCAAAUGAGAAUUUCGAUAUAAAGGAUAAAAUAUCACGACUGUCUUUGCUAAUGCGAAGGUCUUUAAAGGAGAGAUUAAGUAAAAGAGCUAAAUGGUACCAGAAGACGAUUUACCUUCAUGACCACUCUCAUUUACAUACGGAAGUAAUCUAUUUCUCUAAGCGCGAGCACCGAACCAUUACGUUCCAUUUAAUUAACAAUGUGGCAGACAAGCUUCCACCUCGAAGCGCCUCGUAGAUCGAUGUUAACCACACGUUAGAAUCAAUCAUCGCGCGUUCACCGGUGAAACGAUUAGCUUACGAUGAGUAAACAAAUGUUUGAACGAUGCGCAUUACACGGCAGAGCAAAUACGCUGCUUCCUGUCGCGUAAUUUGUAGUCGUGACGCUCGCUUCGUAUAUGUAACGAUCGACGCGAUCACUCGAUAAUAACAGAUUCAAGAAUAUUUGCAUAAUACCUACCGGUAUACACAGUAUACGUUAACCACUUCGUUGUACCUUCUAUCAAUUUUGCCAUCUAAUAUAUUAUGAGAACGUCGUCGCUACAAACUGGUGCGAAUGUUCUACAGGAUAGAUCAGUUUGAUAGAAGAGUAACUAUUGUAGAUGAUGUACCAUUAUCAGUCAUGAUCUACGAUCAAAACUUGCAUGAUACUUAUUUAUCACAGAUUUGUGGCAAACUGAAGAAGAGGAAGGCUAAAUCUAAAGGUUUGAGUUCUCAAGAAAUCAAGAUAGCUGCGAUUCACUCUUUUAAAAGCUUUUUACAUUUUUCUACGUUAAACAUGGCCAACUCCAGCCACCGUUUCACGUCACGACGUUAGGAUACAGUUACCCUUGCUGGCGAUACAGAUCAUUUCACUUAACGCAUUUCAACCACUCCUCGAGCGUGCCGCAGCUAGCGAUGGGAUCUGAAACACUUCAAAUCGUAUCGCGUCUGUAUAUUCAAAUCACUUCAAACAUGAUUCGAGGCUUGAAAUUCUUGAUCGUGUAGAAGGUCUUGAAUCUUUAAAAUCUUGGCAGUCUUAGAAGUCUUGAUCAUCAUGGAAACCUGAAUCGUCUAGGAAGUGUUGAAAAUUGUGAUCAUUUUAAAAGCCUCGAUCGUAUUAGAAGUCCCGAUCAUCUUGUGAAAUAAAUGUAUGUAUGAUAAUUUGAUCUUUCCAGGCGUUUUAUAAACACUUGUUGCAGCCUGAAAAACUGAAUCUAACAGUUUCAAAACGAUCAAGACUUUCGAGACUUUAAAGACUCAAACUUAUCAAGAUUUACAAAAGAACUUUAAACUUCGAAUCAUGUUCGAAGCGAUCCGAAUUUGUCGCCUCAUACACAAUACAAAUUCGAAGCGAUUCGAAGUGUUUCCAAGUCCCAUCACUAGCCGCAAUUCGUGCCUAAUAACUAGGCGAACACGACAACAAAUUGAAGGAGCCAACAUCCAAACGCACAGCAUGAUUUUUCGACGACUAUUAUCUUCGUGCCUGUAUUUCGCUACAAUUUCAUCGACACGUCCGUUAACCCAGGUACACACAUUGACUGUCGAAUUUCCAACCAGCCAAAUUGCAUACGAUCACGUUAUAAGCGUCCAGAGUAUCAGCGUAUGGUGUAUGAAUAAUGAAUGAGCCUCGGACUGCAUAGUAAGACUGAGAAUACGGUCUUAUACGGUACUGUUACAUCCAGCGAAAAGGUGGGGUUGCACAGUUAAAACUCGUGCAACGAGACAGCCGGCCAAUAAGCAGGCAUAAAGACGACGGCGUUAAAUAACCGGUACUCGUCCUAUCGGCCGAUUGCUUUUUGUUGUACGCCAUGGCACGUCAGCUCGAGGCUCGAGCACCACUCUGUCGACCAGUGAAACGGCUAAUGUUCUUGUUUUUUUUUUCUUGCCUUCUUUCUGUUUUCAUUCUUCUUCUCCUUCGCGUUCUUCUUCUUCUCCUUGUUCCUUUUUGCCUGAUUCUUUUAUUCUUUGCCGAGUUCGAUCGAAUCGAGAAAGAUCGAAAGGACGCGUUCGAUGAAAACAAUUUUUUAACAAAGGACUCGAUCGUGUCGCGUUCGUCUUAUGCAGCAUAAACGUGAAAUAUAUUUAGGGAAUCGUAAGAAAAGUCAGCUUUCUGUAUAAGAAGAAAAUAGAGUUACCAGUCAUUAAGGAGAAUGUACUACAUACCUGCCUCACCAAGUAGCUACAUAUUCUGAGAUAACACAAGCAAUUUGUAUCACACUGAAGCUAAGAAUUUUUGGUGCCAUCUUGUAACCAAAUGACGAAGAACAUACACAUUACCAACUUCAAUAGUCUAUAGAAUUAUUUAAUUUAAUCCGAACAGAUGCAUUUAUUAAUCUAUACACAGCAUAAAAUAGAGUUCCCGGUAAGUGCCUGUAUGUUCAGGGCUAAUUUCAAGGACGAUUUGAAAAAUUUCGAUGCGGUGUUCUCGAGGAAGAUUUAGAUGUAUGAAACGUUAACCUACGACAAAAGGGAGCACGCAUAGAACAUUAAGAAUAUGAAUCAGAGACAGUACACGAAUAUUCGCAACAAAACAGCGAUCUUCUUCAAUGCGAGCAUGUUUAGAAUCAUGUUUAGUAUCGCUGCCACAAUAUAGCGAGACGAUAUGAUCCCCCCUUCGAGCAAUGUCUUUCUCUUCUUGGUGCGCGGCAUGUCAGAAGCUUCACGACUUCGUUGUGUGACAACGGGUGUUGUUUCACGGACUGCGGAACACUUACCGAGCCAAUAAAGAUUCACGAGAUUAUGUCAGCCAUAUUAUUAAAAAAGAUUAUAUACGCAUAAUACAUAUUAUAGUAUAUCAUAAUUAGAAAUAUUCAACUUGCAAAUAGGAGAACAUUUAUUACAAUUCUAUUCGCACUGAAAUUUUUUCAUCGGCGUAUACAGCUAACACAACGUCAUUUAAAAGGACAUAAACGCCUCCACGGAGUGCGUUUAACCCAAGUCAAUAAAUUCAUGCUCAAGAUCGAUAUCGUGUGCAUUUAACAUCUCCCAUAAACUAUCUUACACGGUGAACUAGUUCCGUUGGCCAGGUUGCCUCGGAUAUACGUAAAGUCGACGUCCUUAAAUGCAUCAUGCGUCUCGUAAUACUCAUCCGAUUAUCCGUUCAUUCAUUUCGCUUAAUUGCCCACACCGUUAUCAGGCGGGCUUUAAGCUGAACGUCUGAGGAACGCUGUAUCCUCGGUUGUUUUAUAAAAAGACAAGUUUAUUCAUAUACGGAUCACGUUAUGAUAAUGUGCGAUUAAAUUCAUAUAUAGGUAACUAUGCUUGCAGAGGCAAGUGAGACUAGUUAUGGAAUGUAUGAGAGAGGAUGUUGAAUCACAGGCUAAAGCUAUAAUUACGUACAAGGAUUAUGGAGAAAAUAGUAAAAAGAAUAAAUUAUAGUAAAUACACCA